rnacentral:tRNA from 1 species
GGCUCCGUAGUUCAAUGGUAGAACACCUACCUUUUAAGCAGGAUGUUGUCGGUUCGAAUCCGGUCGGGGUCA